UGGGGUGUCGCCAAGUGGUAAGGCACCGGGUUUUGAUCCCGGCAUUCGCAGGUUCAAAUCCUGCCACCCCAGCCA
rnacentral:tRNA from 1 species